CAUAUCAAUAAGCGGAGGAAAAGAAACCAACAGGGAUUGCCCCAGUAACGGCGAGUGAAGCGGCAACAGCUCAAAUUUGAAAUCUGGCCCCCAGGGUCCGAGUUGUAAUUUGUAGAGGAUGCUUUGGGCGAGGUGCCUUCCGAGUUCCCUGGAACGGGACGCCACAGAGGGUGAGAGCCCCGUCUGGUCGGACACCGAGCCUCUGUAAAGCUCCUUCGACGAGUCGAGUAGUUUGGGAAUGCUGCUCAAAAUGGGAGGUAUAUGUCUUCUAAAGCUAAAUAUUGGCCAGAGACCGAUAGCGCACAAGUAGAGUGAUCGAAAGAUGAAAAGCACUUUGAAAAGAGGGUUAAAAAGUACGUGAAAUUGUUGAAAGGGAAGCGCCCAUGACCAGACUUGGGCCCGGUGAAUCAUCCAGCGUUCUCGCCGGUGCACUUUGCCGGGCACAGGCCAGCAUCAGUUCGGGGCGGGGGACAAAGGCUCUGGGAAUGUGGCUCCCCCGGGAGUGUUAUAGCCCACCGCGUAAUACCCUGCGCCGGACUGAGGUACGCGCAUUCGCAAGGAUGCUGGCGUAAUGGUCAUCAGCGACCCGUCUUGAAACACGGACCAAGGAGUCGUCUUCGUAUGCGAGUGUUCGGGUGUCAAACCCCUACGCGGAAUGAAAGUGAACGCAGGUGAGAGCUUCGGCGCAUCAUCGACCGAUCCUGAUGUUCUCGGAUGGAUUUGAGUAAGAGCAUACGGGGCCGGACCCGAAAGAAGGUGAACUAUGCCUGUAUAGGGUGAAGCCAGAGGAAACUCUGGUGGAGGCUCGCAGCGGUUCUGACGUGCGAAUCGAUCGUCAAAUAUGGGCAUGGGGGCGAAAGACUAAUCGAACCUUCUAGUAGCUGGUUU
rnacentral:rRNA from 1 species